rnacentral:rRNA from 1 species
AAGAGACUGGGAUAACACCUGGAAACAGAUGCUAAUACCGGAUAACAACACUAGACGCAUGUCUAGAGUUUGAAAGAUGGUUCUGCUAUCACUCUUGGAUGGACCUGCGGUGCAUUAGCUAGUUGGUAAGGUAACGGCUUACCAAGGCAAUGAUGCAUAGCCGAGUUGAGAGACUGAUCGGCCACAUUGGGACUGAGACACGGCCCAAACUCCUACGGGAGGCAGCAGUAGGGAAUCUUCCACAAUGGACGAAAGUCUGAUGGAGCAACGCCGCGUGAGUGAAGAAGGGUUUCGGCUCGUAAAGCUCUGUUGGUAGUGAAGAAAGAUAGAGGUAGUAACUGGCCUUUAUUUGACGGUAAUUACUUAGAAAGUCACGGCUAACUACGUGCCAGCAGCCGCGGUAAUACGUAGGUGGCAAGCGUUGUCCGGAUUUAUUGGGCGUAAAGCGAGUGCAGGCGGUUCAAUAAGUCUGAUGUGAAAGCCUUCGGCUCAACCGGAGAAUUGCAUCAGAAACUGUUGAACUUGAGUGCAGAAGAGGAGAGUGGAACUCCA